GAAUAACAGUAUGGAGUCAGCUCUGCCUUCUCUUCCUGCCAAUCUGGCUCACCUCAGGACCAGGUGCAAAUUUCACGGGAGCAUCUAGCCUCUGAAAAACUCUUCAUAGUCGCUGCCAUUCUUUCCAGGAAAGAGAAGAAUGUGCAGUGAUGGACGACGUGUAUUUUUGUUGGUGUAUUUCUGCAUAUGUGUUUUGUUUACUCUCUUUUUUUUCCUUUUUUCUUUUUUUAAUUUGCUUUUCACCAAACUGGAGUGAGGGCUUGUGCUAGGUUUUGGACUCUGAUCUGCCUUUGAAGACUCUUCCAAAUGCAAAGACUUCAUGUUCCUUGUUUAUUAUGGAAAAAUAAACAAUGAAGAACUAGUGGAUGCUCUACCCAUAAUGGAAUAAACCAAGAAGGAGCAAGACUAAAGAUCAGAAAGCAGGUAAUCCAAAUCGAGAGAGACAAAAGAAAUGACCAGGAGGUACAGAGGGUCCAAGAUUAUAGUUGAGAAGAAGCUUUCAAACAGAGGAGAGCCAUUUCAGAUUGGACAAAAGCACCCCCUGCCCCCACCACCGGAAGGAUGCUUCCAGGGGAAAGACAGAUGAAGAAGAAAUGGAGAGAUUACCAGGAAAACUAAGGCUAACACAGUCACCGUUGGGCCAUUCUCUGCUUACACUGUAAGAAGUGGAAUUACCAGGGCACAAGCUGCACUGCUCAUAGCUGGCAUACUUCUCUAUGGAAUGCUGAGAAAAGGGAGAUAUGCAUUGCUUCUUGCCAACCUUUGCAAGCAAACUGAGAAAACUACGGGAGGCCCUCUUUAUUCAGGAUUCAGCUUAAUUUCUGUUGAGCCUGGAAAAGGGCUUGAUCCCUGAUGGCUUACACAAAGCAUGGAGAUGCACACUUGACUAUACACAGCUGCAGUAUCAUUUGGGUUCACAAGCUUGUCUUCUACACAAGAAAAUCUGCAUCCUUCAUACCAUCAUGUUAAGAAGUGUAAUUUGUGUUCCGGCCAGGGCAAUUAGGCAGGAGAAGGA
rnacentral:lncRNA from 1 species